AAUGAUGGCAGAUUUCAAAGACCGAAGCCUGGGUUCAGACUGUACUGUGUCAUUUCUUACAUCCUAUUGCCCAAAGCAAGUCACAGGUGGUGGGGAAAUAGAUGUUAUCUCUUGUUGGGAGAAGCUGCAGAGAAUUAUGGCCACUUUUUGCAGUCUUACAGAUGGUGACUGAUACCUUGUUGCAUAGACAAAACACCAUAGAUGAAUCAAGCAAUUUUUCUAAUAUAAAUUAAGAGACAAAGAACAAAAUAAGUGUGCCAGUACUUACUGUAAACUAUAAUUCAUCUGGGCAAUAGGACAUCUUUCAAGUCAUAAAUUUUUAUCUUUAUUUUUCCCUGUGACAGUUUCUUCAAAGGACGUCAAGAUCGGUCCAAUUGGUCAUGAAAAUAUGCUGCCAGGACCACAGAGAACUGCAAGUGUUAGCUUGUUGGGUUCUGUGUUUAUCUAGUUUGAGUCAUGUUACUGAUUAUGGACUACUUCUCUUGUCUUCCCCGGCUCUUCAACUCUCCUAAACUCUCUCUCUUUUGGACUCCUUGCUUCUAUCUAUAAACAAGCAUUAUUGAGGGCUGCUAGAUGAGAAGGACAUGACAACCCACUCCAGUGUUCUUGCCUGGAGAAUCUUAGGGACAGCUGAGCCUGGUAGGAGGCUGUCUAUGGGGUCGCACAGAGUCGGACACGACUGAAGCGACUUAGCAGCAGCGGCAGCAGCAGCAGAG
ensembl:lncRNA